UGCCGUAUAUAGGCCUUGUUCAUUUCCGAAUUUUUUUGGAUUUUUUGUUUUGUAGUAUUUUCGUUUUUAUUUAAUAAUUAUUGUUCAAUCAUAGAUCAAUUAGGCUUAAAAAACUCAUCUCACGAUUUACAGGUAAACUCAAUAGUUUUUGUUUUUGUUUAUAUUUAAUAUCUCAUGCAUGUGCCGGUGAGAUUUGAUGUUACGAAAAAUCUUGAAAAGUUUUUUGUUUUUUUGUGUGCCCUAUACAAAGCUAUGGUUGUACAAAAUGGAGCAGUGUGUGUAGCGCGCCGUGGCUGGCACAAAACUGUCAUGGUAGUUCCAUCUGCCCUACUGCUAUGUGGGGCCGUCAACUAGGGCUGCAUUGCCGGGUCCCCAGACAGUGAGACAGAAGACUCCACAGGGACUCCCCACAAGGCCAUAGGGCCAAGGUGGCCUCGUAACGAACGAACGUCGCAGCGGCAGCGAUGUUCAGUACAGAAUGAUCUGUGUGA
rnacentral:lncRNA from 1 species